rnacentral:rRNA from 1 species
CCUACGGGAGGCAGCAGUGGGGAAUAUUGCACAAUGGGGGAAACCCUGAUGCAGCGACGCCGCGUGAGUGAAGAAGUAUUUCGGUAUGUAAAGCUCUAUCAGCAGGGAAGAAAAUGACGGUACCUGAUUAAGAAGCCCCGGCUAACUACGUGCCAGCAGCCGCGGGAAUACGUAGGGGGCAAGAGUUAUCCGGAUUUACUGGGUGUAAAGGGAGCUUGGACGGCAGCACAAGUCUGGAUUGAAAUGCCGGGGCUUAACCCCGGAACUGCUUUGGAAACUGUGCAGCUAGAGUGCAGGAGGGGUAAGUGGAAUUCCUAGUGUAGCGGUGAAAUGCGUAGAUAGUAGGAGGAACACCAGUGGCGAAGGCGGCUUACUGGACUGUAACUGACGUUGAGGCUCGAAAGCGUGGGGAGCAAACAGGAUUAGAUACCCUUGUAGUC